UGUCACCCACGGGAGGCAGCAGUGAGGAAUAUUGGUCAAUGGGCUUACGCCUGAACCAGCCACGUCGCGCGAGGGAAGACUGCCCUAUGGGUUGUAAACCUCUUUUGUCAGGGAGCAACGCCGGCUACGUGUAGCCGGACUGAGAGUACCUGAAGAAAAAGCAUCGGCUAACUCCGUGCCAGCAGCCGCGGUAAUACGGAGGAUGCGAGCGUUAUCCGGAUUUAUUGAGUUUAAAGGGUGCGUAGGCGGAAUGCCAAGUCAGCGGUAAAAUCGCGGGGCUCAACCUCGCUCCGCCGUUGAAACUG
rnacentral:rRNA from 1 species